rnacentral:misc_RNA from 1 species
AACGCACAUUGCGCUCUCUGGUAUUCCGGAGAGCAUGCUUGUUUGAGUAUCAGUAAAACACCCUCAGUUCUCUCUUUUUGAGAAUUGGAUUUGAGUUAUCCCGCGCAGCUAAGGAAUUAGCUGGCGGGUCACUUGAAAUUCAGGUGCGGCUGGACACAUCUUCUGAGCUAUAAGCAUUACUUAUUUAAUCCCGUCAGACGGAUUAUUUCUACUGCUACAGCUAAUAUAAAGGUUGAUUGGCCACCGGACUGAUGCAGAAAUAAACGGGGAGAAAUCCUUGUUCACUCGAUCUCAAAUCAAGUAAGACUACCCGCUGAACUUAA